rnacentral:tRNA from 1 species
AUGGUGGUAUGGUCUAGGGGUAGGAUACCGCAUUGUGGUGAACGUGGAGAAAUCCACAUCUCAAUGCUGCGUUGGCCCCGGUUCGAAUCCGGGUACCGCCAC